rnacentral:rRNA from 1 species
AUUUGAUAGUACCUUACUACAUGGAUACCUGUGGUAAUUCUAGAGCUAAUACAUGCUGAAAACCUCGACUUCGGAAGGGGUGUAUUUAUUAGAUAAAAAACCAAUGCCCUUCGGGGCUCCUUGGUGAAUCAUAAUAACUUAACGAAUCGCAUGGCCUUGCGCCGGCGAUGGUUCAUUCAAAUUUCUGCCCUAUCAACUUUCGAUGGUAGGAUAGUGGCCUACCAUGGUGGCAACGGGUAACGGGGAAUUAGGGUUCGAUUCCGGAGAGGGAGCCUGAGAAACGGCUACCACAUCCAAGGAAGGCAGCAGGCGCGCAAAUUACCCAAUCCCGACACGGGGAGGUAGUGACAAUAAAUACUGAUACGGGGCUCUUUUGGGUCUCGUAAUUGGAAUGAGUACAAUCUAAAUCCCUUAACGAGGAACAAUUGGAGGGCAAGUCUGGUGCCAGCAGCCGCGGUAAUUCCAGCUCCAAUAGCGUAUAUUAAAGUUGUUGCAGUUAAAAAGCUCGUAGUUGAACCUUGGGUCUGGCUGGCCGGUCCGCCUCACCGCGAGUACUGGUCCGGCUGGACCUUUCCUUCUGGGGAAUCUCAUGGCCUUCACUGGCUGUGGGGGGAACCAGGACUUUUACUGUGAAAAAAUUAGAGUGUUCAAAGCAGGCCUUUGCUCGAAUACAUUAGCAUGGAAUAAUAGAAUAGGACGUGCGGUUCUAUUUUGUUGGUUUCUAGGACCGCCGUAAUGAUUAAUAGGGAUAGUCGGGGGCGUCAGUAUUCAGCUGUCAGAGGUGAAAUUCUUGGAUUUGCUGAAGACUAACUACUGCGAAAGCAUUCGCCAAGGAUGUUUUCAUUAAUC